UCUCCGUAGGUGAACCUGCGGAGGGAUCAUUACUGAGUGAGGGUCUCCGGGCCCGACCUCCAACCCCAUGUGAACCGAAACCUGUUGCUUCGGGGGCGACCCUGCCGUUUCGACGGCGAGCGCCCCCGGAGGCUCAUCAAACACUGCAUCUUUGCGUCGGAGUCUUAAUGAAUUUAAACAAAACUUUUAACAACGGAUCUCUUGGUUCUGGCAUCGAUGAAGAACGCAGC
rnacentral:misc_RNA from 1 species